AUUGAACGCUGGCGGCAGGCUUAACACAUGCAAGUCGAGCGGGGGAAGGUAGCUUGCUACUGGACCUAGCGGCGGACGGGUGAGUAAUGCUUAGGAAUCUGCCUAUUAGUGGGGGACAACAUCUCGAAAGGGAUGCUAAUACCGCAUACGUCCUACGGGAGAAAGCAGGGGAUCUUCGGACCUUGCGCUAAUAGAUGAGCCUAGGUCGGAUUAGCUAGUUGGUGGGGUAAAGGCCUACCAAGGCGACGAUCUGUAGCGGGUCUGAGAGGAUGAUCCGCCACACUGGGACUGAGACACGGCCCAGACUCCUACGGGAGGCAGCAGUGGGGAAUAUUGGACAAUGGGGGGAACCCUGAUCCAGCCAUGCCGCGUGUGUGAAGAAGGCCUUAUGGUUGUAAAGCACUUUAAGCGAGGAGGAGGCUCUUUUGGUUAAUACCCAGAAUGAGUGGACGUUACUCGCAGAAUAAGCACCGGCUAACUCUGUGCCAGCAGCCGCCGUAA
rnacentral:rRNA from 1 species